CAGCCGCCGCGGUAAUACGAAGGGUGCAAGCGUUAAUCGGAAUUACUGGGCGUAAAGCGUGCGUAGGCGGUGAGUUAAGUCUGCUGUGAAAUCCCCGGGCUCAACCUGGGAAUGGCAGUGGAUACUGGCUCGCUAGAGUGUGUCAGAGGAUGGUGGAAUUCCCGGUGUAGCGGUGAAAUGCGUAGAGAUCGGGAGGAACAUCAGUGGCGAAGGCGGCCAUCUGGGACAACACUGACGCUGGGGCACGAAAGCGUGGGGAGCAAACAGGAUUAGAUACCCCAGUAGUCCCUGUCUCUUAUAC
rnacentral:rRNA from 1 species